rnacentral:rRNA from 1 species
AUUGAACGCUGGCGGAAUGCUUUACACAUGCAAGUCGAACGGCAGCACGGACUUCGGUCUGGUGGCGAGUGGCGAACGGGUGAGUAAUACAUCGGAACGUGCCCAGUCGUGGGGGAUAACGUAGCGAAAGCUACGCUAAUACCGCAUACGAUCUACGGAUGAAAGCGGGGGAUCGCAAGACCUCGCGCGAUUGGAGCGGCCGAUGGCAGAUUAGGUAGUUGGUGGGGUAAAGGCUCACCAAGCCGACGAUCUGUAGCGGGUCUGAGAGGACGACCAGCCACACUAGGACUGAGACACGGCCCAGACUCCUACGGGAGGCAGCAGUGGGGAAUUUUGGACAAUGGGCGCAAGCCUGAUCCAGCCAUUCCGCGUGCAGGAUGAAGGCCCUCGGGUUGUAAACUGCUUUUGUACGGAACGAAAAGGCUCUGGUUAAUACCCGGGGCUCAUGACGGUACCGUAAGAAUAAGCACCGGCUAACUACGUGCCAGCCGCCGCGGUAA